CAAGUAUUGUGGUUAAUGCAGACAUGAUUCCUUGUAAAAGGUUUAAGUUUGGUGUUUUAACAUCUUAACACCUGUUUCUUGCCAGAAAAAAGGGGAAAACCUUUUUCAUAAACGACAACCACGACAAUAAAAAUACACUGAGCAAAACGAAAUUUCCCUUUCAGUAACAAUACAGAUGCCGUAAAAUUAUAACGUUGUUCGUCGCAGAUUCAUCGGCAGUGGUGCACUCACACAAAAUAACAAAAAAAACGAAACACAAAUGUCGAUAGCACUGCUUUAAAAGGGAAAAUAUAUCAGGCGACUCUUUUUGGCCAAUGGUCUUUCUUCAUAGCAUAUUUUUAAAAAUUCAAUUGUGUGCUAUGAAGAAGUGCCACUGCAAAAAACGUCACCUGUUGUGUCGAGUUUAUCAGUAAAUUGAUCAAAGCUCACCAUCUACAGACGCAUCUUACACAGACCUUCUUCCACUGCGAGUCACCGAUGCACUUUUCUCAGGUGCCACGCAGUUGUGGGUAGGGAAGAGGGUGUAUUUUGCAUUUUCAUAGCCACAGCUGCGGAGACAGCAGAGAAUUAUUCUGCUGCUGCUAAAGUUGCAAUUUUUUUCAUUGGUCCUCAAAAUGUGCAGCGCUGUAGCUGGUGAGACGGAAUGCGCAGGUCGUCACGGUGGUUUGUUUUAAUUUCAUCCGCACCAAGCAAUCAUCUCCCUUGUGCGACCAGGUGGGCCUCCCUUGGUUCGCACACUGAGCUCACCGACACAGCUCCUGUAAAGGAAUAUUCGGUUAAACUUCAAACAAAUACAAUAAUAAUAAUAAUUUGUGUGAUGGCUUUAACCUUCCCAUCCAUCAUGUCCACGGUAGCGGACUGGUAUUUAAUUAUACGAAACAUUCUCAACACCUUUGGAAGGUGGGGGGGUCUUUUAAAUAUUAAAAGAGCAUUAAAGUAUUUUUUCGGGUUUUGCUUUUAAUAAUUCAUGGAUCAGGAGAUUUGGUAUGAGGCCACGUAGGUUAUAUUACGUAUAUUUGUCCUUUAAACCCAAAACUGAUUACAAGUUCACGGUUCACCAAAUUAGUGUGUAUGACUACACAACGUACGUACAUGCAAAUGCUAAAUGUAAUUUCCAUGAUAGGAGUGGCACGCACACUGCACUAUGAACCCAGCCACCCGAGUUUGAUUCCUGGCAGAGGCCAACAUCAGUAGCGGGUGAAAUCUCAACAAGUCCUGGCUCCCUCGUCACUAAACCGCGCUGACCAAAGUAUAUUCAAUCAAUCCCCGACAACGCACAAGGACGCCUUCAUCCAACAAUAGGUUAACAAAGAGGCAUAAAUUAUUAUAUUAUUUUUAUGUGUUUCAUAUGUACAUAUUUUUUGCGCAGCAUAUCCCAUCUCUGAUGGUUGAGUACGAUGGCAACCUCAUUUUGUAAUGUCAUGUGUGGUUACUUUUUAACCAUUGUGUGCAUACAAACAUUAUGCAAUUCACAAUUUGAAGUAUGGCUCUACUAGUAAGACUGGUGUUUAUUUUUAAAAUAAUAAUUAAUAACACGUCAAUACACAAAAACCUGGGUUCAUUUUCUGCAUCACGAAGCAAAUGUACAGUCUCAGAUUUAGUAACAUACUUUAGCUAAAGUAAGUCCUCUUUGUUUCGCAUUUGUUACGAGGGCUAUUACACAAUAACCAGGAAGCGUUUAUCACAAUCGGUUAGCGGUUCCAAAGUUGAGAACAGGUAAUCGUUUCCCGUGGAAUUUUAGGAAUGGACGCACCCAUUGGCACGCGCGGGGGAGUACAAACGAUAAGGUGGCGUAGGCCACCGAGUGGUUAAUUUGCCCUCGUUUCUCAGUUAAAGUUAAGCGGUAAAGAUGCAACCCUUCAAUCGAUCACUUACGCCACUGAUGGCGGAGGUGCCUCCAAUAGAGGGAACACUAGAAGUGAUAUAGUGGUCUAAUAAUCCAAACUGACCAGAUGUCUUGGAAGAGAUUGGCAUACCCACACUUUUUCCCACCACACGUGACCUACCCAAGGACUAACUGUGGUGUAUACGCACAAUUAUACUGCUGGGUGGACAGAGGCAGAGAUUGUUUAAGACAUUUUCAAUUGCCUUGUCAGGAGAUCAAAUCGAACCGGCGACUUCUAAAAUGCUGACCGUGACACCACAACAUCUCUCUUCGUUUCCAGUUAAAAACGUGAAUUUCUUUAACAUGUGACAAAGUGAUAAACAUUUGAUUUUCAUCCGGUUACAGGCAAAGCAUGCAAUACCAAUUUUAACAACCAUAAUUCACACAAAGAUCACAAUUCAUGAAUGUGCUUCGAUUUAGAGGUCUCCCUGCGAAUUUCUGCUUCCGCCGUUAAUGUGUUUGCGUUAAAUUUAGGCGGUUAAGUAAGUGCGCGGCAUGAGGAGCGACACUCCGGCCACUGCGGAGUGGGCGUCGGGAUUGGGAAUGAGCAGGGAGGGACGGUUGGAUGCCACUCCACGUCGCGCGGAGGCCGUCCCUCGCCCACGCACCUCGGCCCGAUCUCAACGGCGGGGGGGGCGAGCGGGACGAUAAAAACCCAAGCGGCGCACACAGGGGACCCCGAAGCUCCCUGCCGCUCGCACCGCUCGUCGCCUGCUCCUCCUCCUCCUCCUCUUCUCGCAGCACCGGUGGCAGUGGCCAGCCCGCACCCAUCCCUUCCGCCAUCCCUCGCUGCCGCCCCACGGUUACCCACCGAGCAGUCCCCCUGUAGCUUCCUGCAGCCCGUCGCCCAUGGCCACGAUGGGGGCUGCCUGCGUGGCGGCAUGGAUGGCGAUGCUGGCGCUGUUAGCGUGCGGCUCACCGCAGCGUGGCUCGAUGGCCGUGGCGGACGAGCUCAAGUCCCUGGACAAGCCGUUCAACCAGGAACUGUUUUUGCAGUUGCUAAACGACUACUUCUCUCGGAGGAAACCCGACAAUACGAUGCCUCCCAUGCCACUACCUCACGUGGCACUUUCGCGCAUGCCACUGUCCCGCUGUGGGCGACCCGUGCUCGGUGCCACGGAUCGCUGCUGACGGAGAGAGGCUCCCGGUGAGCCCCCCACGCAUGAGCAGGCCGUGAUGGCUGCAGCAGAGGCCGCGCAUGAAGCAUCACUCAUCGGAGAUAAUUUAUUGAGAAGCGGUGUGAAGCUCCCGCGAAGGCAGAUCAUCCUCCCGUUUUUGACAAGUGUUGUUUUAUAUUUAAGAAAGCGUUAAGACCUCACCUAAACGAACCCUGUACCAGUACGAUUCAAAUGAAAGGAAAAAUAAUUGCAUGUUUGUUUCCGUUUCAACAAAAAUACGCAAUUUUUAAAAAUCACGUUCGUUAAUUUCUCUUCCUAUUCAUCCGUCUCGAGGCUUCCGCAUGCUGUCCCCUUCUCGACACGUUCGUAAAAGCGAGUUAAAUUGUGUUUUCAUGAUAUAUUUGGUUUGCUAUCACAAACCAUACUUUGCUGUCUUGAUACCACUCUACCCCUGUAUAAUAUCUUGCCAUCAAGAACGAUCAUGUCCUGCAUUGUAUAACUUAUUAAUACACAGUACUGCAAGUUACAAUCUCAUGGAAUGGAAGUGCAUGAUUAUAGGGACAUUACAAUUACAGCAUUAUAGGUAGAUAAUAGACGUAGCAAUGUAAUAACAGCUUGUACAAUAAACCUUAAGACUUUUCCUUCUGCGUUAAGAGACAAGGAACAACAUUGGCCCGCCACACACUGCAGAAUUGUACAAAGAAGCUACGAACAGAUAUCACAUACAUAUUGUGCCUGCAAUACGUACAACCACAACACUUGAAAAUAAAACACUACAUCUGUAAAGGACCCAAGUCUGACGUUUGAUAAUUACCUACAACUUGAUGUGGUACUGAUGCCGUCUGUUAUGAUCGAUUUUUAAUGCAUUCUUUACACGCGUAACACAAGAUCAGGACGUGAUGUGUAUUUAUUUCGCCUCGAAUGUUUAUUUAGCACUGUAAUAUAGGUCAUGCUUUAAAUCGUAUAUUCAUAAUGUCCAUUGGUUUAACGUUCUGCGACGUCGACUUGCGUAGGCUGCGAUCAAAUCCACUGGAAUAAAAUUUCAUGGGGACCUCAGAAACCCAAAGUCGCACAGAGCCUAAAUAACGCUUUGAUGGAUGAUCACGUGCAUAACAGUUGCUAUAGGCUACUGAACCGCAUUGUGGGAAACAAAGGACAGAGCAGCAACAUCCUUUGUUGUACUGCACUUCUAUGAUCCCACAGCUACGCAACACUGCCUUCAACCCGCACUGACCGGCACGAUGAAUUAUGGGCAAAUGACCCCCCCACCACCCCGCGCCCCUUCCCCACAAACACACACGAAGUGGGAAGGCUCUCAUCCAGCAGUGGAUUGCGAAAUGUCUUUGUAUGUACUGUAUAUGUAAACACAUGAUGAGGUGUGGUUUCAUUAACAUGUGACGCGCAUGCACGGAUUAGUUUGUUUAAAAAGCACAUAAUAUACGAGAUGUACUAAAUGUAUAAAUGGCAGCGAAACCACAUGCUUUACCGUGACCAUUCUUUGAAACGCAGUGCGUGCCACCAAAACGCGAAAUAAAACGUGCAAACAUAUA